GUAUGUGGGAGGGGAAUAGAAAUGAGCCAGCCAAGAGGAGAGUGAAAAAGACAGAAGACGUUGAUCACUCAAAGAAGGAAGUGGGGAUGUUUUAGUGGAAAACUUGGAAAACAAAUUUGAAAUCUUCAUCGACAGCUCACUUCAUCUUGAGAGGCCUCCAUCAACUGUGCCCACGCUACAUAAAGUUCAAACAUGAUGAUGUCACAGAUGGAUCAGCCUCACUCCAUCAUGAGAGGCCUCCAUCACCUGUGCUCACGUGUGUGUCCAUGAAGAGUGACCAGUCAGAUGACCGCGUCAUUGAUCUCAAACAUGAUGAUGUCACACAUGGAUCAGCCUCAUUCCAUUAUGAGAGGCCUCCAUCAGCUGUGCCAACAUGUGUGUCCAUGAAGAGUAACCGGUCAGAGGAUCGCAUCGUAAAGUUCAAACAUGAUGAUGU